GGGGGUUUAGCUCAUCUGGCUAGAGCGCAACACUGGCAGUGUUGAGGUGACCGGUUCGAGUCCGGUAAUCUCCACAA
rnacentral:tRNA from 1 species